AUUGAACGCUGGCGGCAUGCCUUACACAUGCAAGUCGAACGGUAACAGGUCUUCGGAUGCUGACGAGUGGCGAACGGGUGAGUAAUACAUCGGAACGUGCCUAGUAGUGGGGGAUAACUACUCGAAAGAGUGGCUAAUACCGCAUGAGAUCUACGGAUGAAAGCAGGGGAUCGCAAGACCUUGUGCUACUAGAGCGGCCGAUGGCAGAUUAGGUAGUUGGUGGGAUAAAAGCUUACCAAGCCGACGAUCUGUAGCUGGACUGAGAGGACGAUCAGCCACCCUGGGGCUGAGACACGGCCCAGACUCCAACGGGAGGCAGCAGUGGGGAAUUUUGGACAAUGGGCGAAAGCCUGAUCCAGCAAUGCAGCAUGCAGGAUGAAGGCCUUCGGGUUGUAAACUGCUUUUGUACGGAACGAAAAGCCCCGGGUUAAUACCCUGGGGUCAUGACGGUACCGUAAGAAUAAGCACCGGCUAACUACGUGCCAGCCGCCGCCGUAA
rnacentral:rRNA from 1 species